rnacentral:lncRNA from 1 species
AGGCCUUUCUGGAGACCCUCCGAGGGGUGGCCGAGGUCUCAGAGUGGCCGCCGCAGGAGUGGGCCCACCGUCUCCUGCCUCUGCUGACAGGAGAGGCCCAGCUCGCAGCCCACAGCCUACCAGCGGCGGCCCAGAACGACUUCAACCUCGUCGCCAGGGCUAUCCGGGACCGGUUGGGCCUAAACCCGGAGGAACAUCGCCGGCGGUUCCGGGCCCUGGCCUUCACCGACGGCGACCGGGCCUUCACCUACGCCCAGCAGCUGCGGGACCAGGCGAGGAGGUGGCUGGGCCCGGAACAAAACACACCGGAGGACAUAGUGGAGCAGGUGGCCCUGGAGAGGUUCGUCGAGGGGCUUCCAACCAGAACAUCUACCUGGGUCCGGUACCACCAGCCCGGGAGCCUCUCGGCGGCCGUCAACAUCGCGGAGGGCCACCUGGCUCCCCCUCUGUCAGACCGACGACCGAUCCCGAGCCCGCGGACCGGUGCAGCAGCCCUGCAGCGGGACAGGCCCACCCCGGGACCGAGGGCGAGAUGGGGUGGGGGUCCCAGUCACGAGCAGGCACAUAGUGAACCUUCCCACCCCAUCCCGCAGACGGGCACUCAGACGGCAGGGGAGGCGUGCUGGCGGUGUGGACGGCCGGGCCACCUUCGGCGGGACUGUCCGUUGAUGGAGGUGGGCCAGGUCGUCCGCGUCACCGGUGCCCCGGCUCUUCCCCACGGUCCCGGCGAGGCGUACCGUAUCCCGGUGAGGAUACAGCGGGGUACGUACCAGGCGCUGUUGGAUUCGGGGUGUAUGCAGACCAUGAUCCAUCAGCGCCUGGUGCGAUCCGAGGCAUUGAUAGAGGCAUCGAGCGUUUCGGUGAGAUGUAUUACACGGGGAUGUUCACACGUAUCCCUUGGUCCCUAUCGAAAUUCAUUAUGGGGGGAAAACGCAUAGAGUCAAGGCGGCGGUUAGUCCGAGCCUCACGCACCCCCUGAUUCUAGGGUUAGAUUGGGCUGGGUUUCCAGGGGCGGUUAGCGAGACUACGGGGGUGCGGACACGACAGAUAGGGACAUGUAGGUCCUGCGCUGUGUUCUGCGCCGAUGCAAGGGUGUCCGACGCUGAUCAGGGAUCGGGGGAGGUGGCGGGAGGUUCUCAACCCGAGGUCCGAGCGCCGAGCUUCCCACCGGUGGACGAUUUCCCCCUCGAGCAGUCUCGUGACGCUACUUUACGCUCAGCCUUCGACCAAGUGAUUGCUAUUGAUGGUUCGAGGGUACAGCCAGACGCAGUGCUGACUUACCCACACUUUGUGGUCGUUAGGGAUAGGCUUUAUCG